GACGAACGCUGGCGGCGUGCUUAACACAUGCAAGUCGUGCGGUAAGGACCUUUCGGGGGUACACGCGCAGCGAACGGGUGAGUAACACGUGAGCAACCUGCACUUCACUUUGGGAUAACCGCCGGAAACGGUGGAGAAUCCCGGAACUGACUUCCACACGCCUGAGGGGUGGUGGAAAGCAUUCGGGUGGUGGGGAAUGGGCUCGCGGCCUAUCAGCUUGUUGGUGGGGUGAUUGCCUGCCAACGAUUAGAGCGGUAGACGGCCUGUGAGGGUGACCGGCCACACUGGUUGUGAGAGACGGCCCAUACACAUACGUGCGGCAGGAGUGGGUAAUAAAUGACAAACGGCGAAAGCCUGAUCCAGCAACGCCGCGCGAGGGAAGACGGCCUUCGGGUUGUACACCUCUUUCGCCCGCAACGAAGCGAGAGUGACGGUAGCAGGUAAAGAAGCACCGGCCAACUACGU
rnacentral:rRNA from 1 species